GCUUGCUUUCUUUUGCUGGCGACCGGCGCACGGGUGAGUAACACGUAUCCAACCUACCCUUUACUCGGGGAUAGCCUUUCGAAAGAAAGAUUAAUACCCGAUAGCAUAAUGAUUCCGCAUGGUUUCAUUAUUAAAGGAUACCGGUAAAGGAUGGGGAUGCGUUCCAUUAGGUUGUUGGUGGGGUAACGGCCCACCAAGCCUUCGAUGGAUAGGGGUUCUGAGAGGAAGGUCCCCCACAUUGGAACUGAGACACGGUCCAAACUCCUACGGGAGGCAGCAUG
rnacentral:rRNA from 1 species